rnacentral:lncRNA from 1 species
UUCCCCUAAAUCCUAUAGUCAGUCUACUUUUUUAUGGCCGAAGGCUCAAGGUCUCUUUCAUGCAGCUUUUUCUCUGUAGUUUGUCAUAUUUUCCUUCUAGCUAUUUCUUAUAUUAUGGAGGCUUGGGUACUUAAUUUGCCAUCUCUUAAUGCAACUAACUUCAUCUCAUAUGCAGUUGGGUCAGAUAAAUAGCCCUGUAUACACAACUCUGUUUGCCAAAUCUCUGCUGUAAAGACUGGCAUACAAAGAAAAUACAGAGAGUUUCUUUCUAUAAAGAAAAGCAACUAAACAAGCUGAAUUGAUACUCAGAACAUGUAAAUGAACUCAGAAAGUAAAGCUAACUGAAUGCCUGUAAGGAUGGAGACUGCUGCACUUUGAUUAUACUAAAACACAGAAUAUUUACAAGAGUCAUUGCAGAGGAAGGUGUUGCAACUCUAUAAACUUCAGGAUCUAAAAUCUUACAUCAGUCAGAAUGCUUUGCUAUGAUUUUACUAAACAAUGUAGCACACCUAUCCAUUACUGCAUUUGAGUAUGAUAGUCAGUCCUCUAAAACCUGGUAGAACAAGUAUUAUAUUAUAGAACAGAAUCACCAUGGUUGAGUAAUCUAAAGGCAGCGACAGUGAUGGUCACCAAGUUAAUUUUUGGGAUUCUGCUUUAAUCCUAUGCCAAAGUUAUUGCUAAGCAUCUCACAAACAAGCCAGUUCACAGUAUAAUAUUCUCAGCAAUUAAUGAGUUAGCACCUGUAUCAUUACAAGAGCUCAAAUACUUCCUUUUUCUUUGCAACUGUGCCAACUAUAAGAUGAAAAAUGUCGUUAAAGCCUGUCAGCAUCUUACUGAGGGGGCAAUCCACAGUGAGAACCAAAGAAAAUUAAGGUAUUCAAGGUUUAUUCAGGUAUUACAAUAAAUGGUGGUAACCAAUAUGCACAAUCAUGUUACAGGAAAAUUUUUCAAAAUCUCUAUGCCAAUUUCCAUCUUACUGUUUUCAGAUACAGGAAAAGGCUUGAAACCCCAAGUAAUCAGAAAGAAGAACAUGGACUGGAAUCUAAUCAUGUUGUCAUCAAGUCUUCUGCUUCCUGUCAGAAAUACAAGAGUUCCAGAUGUGCAAGGGUCUGCUUCAAAUGAUUUGCCAUGUUAAAAAGAAGAAGAAAGUGCUACUAAACUGCCCCUACGAAUGGAAUUUUUUUUUUUUGUUCAUGAAUCAGAAAUAAAACAAGUAUUAAAAGAGGAGAAACGAAAUUUCGAAUAGCACAUACUCUGAUGAAAAAAAAAGUUCAGAGAAUGCAAGAUAUGGCCAACCUUAAAAAAGAAACAGCAAUGAGAAUUUUUUUUUAAAAAGUGGAUAGAUUUCAUAUUAGUCACAAUAGAAACCUGAAAAAAAAUUCAUAGUCUAAGUGCAUCUCAGAUUUUGUAUUUAGCUAUGGAAACUGAGCAAUUGCUGGAAUAGCACCCUUUACUUGCUUCAGAGUAACAGAGGAAGGACAGAAACAGAGAAUUAAAUGCAUUUCACUUCCCUGAUUCUGAGUUUGGGUUACAUGCUGCAUAAUUUUAUUUUGGCCCAAAAAAUAUAUUAAUAUCUGGAGACAUAUAUCUAUUGUCAGCAAACUAGGUUAUCACUAGUUUUUAGAUAACAAGUAUUUUCACUGCAUGAAGUAUGCUGAGACUUUAUUUAAAACUUGUUCUCUUUUCCAUUCUAUUAUCCUGGUCUGUGACAGCUCUCUACUAAAAGUCCCUUUUCAUAGGUUUCCUCUUGAUAACACCUACAUGCCAGGGAGAUUUGGAUAGCCAGGUGGAUUCACUGACACUUGCUAUUAAAACAGCCUAUACCAACUGAAGCUUUUGGUAAUUAUUUCAAUAUUUGCUACAUUAUUGUUAUGGUAGCAACUAAGAACACAUUCAAUCACUGCACUGUUUGACAAAUACAGCAUUUUAAAUUGAAUGUUGCUUUUCUUUAACAAGAUGUCAUAAAAUAUGCAUACAUUGCCUCUAUUAACAGUAUUAUUGUAGCACAUCUCUCCUGGUUCUCCCUUUCAUGUUCUAAAUUCUUGCUUGAUAUUACUGAGAAACAUCAAUACUUCUGCAAAGGCUGAUUAGCAUGCAGUGAGUUGAUAGACAUUUUGGAAGGCAGAACUAACAAAUUUCCAGCAUACUACUAGAUUAUGCAUUUCUCUCAGUGCAUGCAAAAAGAGAUCGUUGUUCACGUACCUCUGAUACUUCUGUUGAUGCUUUUGUCAACAUCUGUUCACAGAAGUGGCUAUUGGCAUGCACUUAUCUGAGAAUCACUAUGCAAAUAUAUGCAACUGCAGUGAAAGAAGUCCCUAGAAGAUUUGAACAAACCCAUUUUAUCAGAAUAAAAAUGUUGAGGUGACUGACAGGUCCAUUGUCACAGACCUUACAGAAGCUGGCUGCCUGCUUUUUCCACUGUUAAAGCAGAAUAUUAUUUGAGUACAAGAAGCAUUACUGUGAACAUAGCAAUUCCCAAUUCUGGUAACAUUUUGCUUGAUCCUGUUUCAUUGUAGAGCAGUGAUGUACGUACUCAAGGGAAUCCAGCUUGGACAAUGAAGGUGAUACAAAUUUAUAGUGAUAGUGCCAUUCAUCAGAGAGGACAGGCCUACUAUUAGGCAGUGUUUGGGACACCAAAGAGGAAUCCUAAAACAACACCCUUAAUUAAAAUCAACUCUCCAUUUAUACUCAUGGAGAUAUACAAAAGACAAAUUGGUGUGAUCUAAUUGAUGCUUUCUUGGCUACUUAUUGAGGGUGAUGGUUCAGGUGUUUGUGAUGAAGGCCCAACCAGGACAGCUGAUGAAAUGCAGUAGUCUCCAGUGUCUGAUCAGUCUGAGCUAGACUGCUUAGAACAAGAGGCAUUGCCAAAAGUGUUGGCUGCAACAAUGACCUCAGUUGUUACCCCCCCUUCCUGCAGCUGUUCCAAGAGCCACACAUUAGCACAUGAGUUUGAGGCUGGAGUGAAGGCUUUAUUUGGUGUUCUAUAUCAUCACUUGACACUGGAGGAGAAAACACUGGUGUUCUAUAUUCUACAGUUGUCUACCUCCAAGGUUCUGGUAGCUCAUACAGGUGCACAGGCAAAAGGGUGACAGAUGCAUGGUUUUUACAUCUUCCUUCCUCUUAACAGUGCAUGCAACAUAAAGCACAGUUUUCCCCAGCACUUCAUCUUUACCAUGGUUGCAGAAGACAAAGCAAAGAGGGAAGUAGUAUUGUUUACUUUGAGAUAAGGAGGGACAUGUACUGAGUCCAGAAACACAGAGAAUUCUAUGUCUUAAAAUGCUGUAUGACUAUUGCAGACCAAAGAGUGAGCAAUUCCUUAAUCCACACUUCUGCUCUAUCUUUAAAAAUGUGAAGGGCUGCUACUGUGGAUCCUAGUUUGCAGUUCCAACAUUAAAACAACUUGUUUAGAGAUCCUGCUUGAUAAUGAGUCAGCUGCUUCUACACUGCUUAUUGUACAUACAAGCAUAAGUAAUCUUGCCUUCCCAUCACACACUGUCAAACAACAGGGGGCUAAAACAGUAGAUUAAGACACAGGCUUAAGCAAAGGCAGCCCCCCACUUUAAAAAGCAGAUUAAGCAUGCGACAGAUGCUUUGUGAUAAUUUAUGAAUAGUGUACGUUGACCUGAUUUUUGUAAUGUUGAUUGUAUGAUUAUGUUGGCUUGAUUUAAUUAGAAGGCACAGACAAAGCCUGAAAUACUUGAUAAACACAAGCUACCCACUGAUAAACAACCUCAGGUCAGUUUGCUAUAAAACCUGAAUUCUCAGCUGUGGAGAGCCUAUUUCUGGGCUCCAGGCAAGCUGCUGGAACAUCUUUGGUCAGUUUGAAUGCUGAGGUUAAAACAACUCCAGUUACUAUGCAAAGGAUCCCUAAGCAAUAUUGGAUAUUUGCUGUAAAGUCAAGUGGGUUGUCACAGAGGGUUGAAAGGAACUUAUAAUGUCACCCUGCCCUCUUGACACCGCGGAGAAAAAAAAAUAUUCUGGCAAGGCAAAACACCUAAACUCAAUUUUCCCUACUUGUUUUCCUCUCUACUGAUGAUAUUGUUUGAGGACAUCUGCAAGCUCAGGAUAAAUCUGUAGGUGCCUGCAGUCUGAGGGACUCACGGGGUAUCACAGCCUUUGGCUUGGAAGGUAUGGAAAUACCAAUAUUCUGCAGCAAGUAAAGACACGAGCCCUUGCAUGAAGGGACUGAGCUCAGAGGCACCAGAUGUAGCUAGCUCUAGUUGUUAUAAAUAGCAGCUUAAAGUUUCACGAUUAAAAUAAUCUGCCCCUCACAUAUGGAAACUUUGAAUGCAUUCAUAAACGUGAAAUAAUCAAAAGGAGUUCAGUUCUUCACUGUUGAUCUGGUAUUGCAGAAUAUUUGCCUAUAGGGCAAGACCACAACGGGAAUCCUACACAGGGGCAGGAGGGGGAAGACUCAUGGUUCCAUAGUUCCUAACCACUAGGGAGA